UUUAUUGAAUUAUAUUUUAUUUAGUAUAAUUAAGAAAAAAGUAUUUUUAUAAUAGAGAAUUAGUAGUGUAAGUGAAAUAGAUGAAUUAUUUAAAAGAAUAUUUAAUUUAUUGUAUCUUGUGUAUCAGAGUUUAUUAAAAAUAUUUUAAAAAUUUUAAAUAUCUCGAAAUCUUAAGGGUUAUAUUUAAGUUUUAUUAAUGUUUUAUAAUUAUAGAGAAGUUAAAUAUGGUAAUGAAAAGUUAAUCGGUUAAGAUAAUAUCUAGUUUUUUUAGAAUUAAAUUUAAUUUAUUUUAAUUUAUAAUUUAGGUUUAGUUUAAUAAAUUUAAAUUAAUUUAUUCUUUAAGGGAAAAGCUUUAGAGAAAGAUUAUAUUUUUAAAUAAUAAAAGAAAAUAAAUAGGAUUAAUAUUGCCAUUUUUAAUAAUUAUUUAUAAAAAAUUUAUAAGUUUAUGAAGAUUUUUUAAGGAUUAAAUUGACUAUAAAAAUAUAUUUUUUAAUUUAAUUAAAAGAGUGAUAAUGAUAAAAUUAGUAAAAUUUAUUAAUUUAUAGGAAUAAAAUAGAAUUUAUUUUUAUGAAUUAGGCAAAAUUAUUUUCACCUGUUUAGUAAAAACAUGGUUGUUUGAAUUAAAUAAAUAAUUGAAUCUGCCCAUUGAAGUUUAAAAGGCUGCAGUAUACUGACUGUACAAAGGUAGCAUAAUCAUUAGUUUUUUAAUUGAAAACUUGUAUGAAGGAUUUGAUGAAAGGUAAGCUUUAUUAAUAUAAAUUAUUGAAGUUUUUAUUUAAGUGAAAAAACUUAAAUAUUAAAGAUAGACGAUAAGACCCUAUAAAAUUUUAUUAUUAAAUUAAGUUAAAUUAGUUUAAUAAUUUAGUUGGGGCAAUUGAAAUUAUUAAAUAAUUUAUUUUUAUAACUUAUGAUGUUAGUGUUAAGGAUCUUAUUUUUAGGAUAUUAAAAAGAAUUGCUUUAGGGAUAACAGCGUAAUAAAUUUUUAUAGUUCUUAUAGAAAAAUAGGUUUGCGACCUC
rnacentral:rRNA from 1 species